AGAAUCAACGCUGGCGGCGUGCCUAACACAUGCAAGUCGAACGAGAAAGUGGAGCAAUCCAUGAGUAAAGUGGCGACCGGGUGAGUAACACGUGACUAACCUACCUUCGAGUGGGGGAUAACAUCGGGAAACCGAUGCUAAUACCGCAUAACAUCGCAAGAUCAAAGCAGCAAUGCGCUGGAAGAGGGGGUCGCGGCUGAUUAGCUAGUUGGCGGGUAAUGGCCCACAAGACGAUGAUCGGUA
rnacentral:rRNA from 1 species